rnacentral:rRNA from 1 species
GAGUUUGAUCAUGGCUCAGAUUGAACGCUGGCGGCAUGCCUUACACAUGCAAGUCGAACGGUAACAGGUCUUCGGAUGCUGACGAGUGGCGAACGGGUGAGUAAUACAUCGGAACGUGCCCGAUCGUGGGGGGAUAACGAAGCGAAAGCUUUGCUAAUACCGCAUAAGAUCUACGGAUGAAAGCAGGGGACCGCAAGGCCUUGCGCGAACGGAGCGGCCGAUGGCAGAUUAGGUAGUUGGUGGGAUAAAAGCUUACCAAGCCGACGAUCUGUAGCUGGUCUGAGAGGACGACCAGCCACACUGGGACUGAGACACGGCCCAGACUCCUACGGGAGGCAGCAGUGGGGAAUUUUGGACAAUGGGCGAAGGCCUGAUCCAGCCAUGCCGCGUGCAGGAUGAAGGCC